CUGACACUAGAGCCCAUCAAAAGAUUAGAUAGUAGAUAAAGUAGAUAUGUAGACAGAUGGAUGAACAAACAGAUGCACAGACAGAUAGAUGAUGUUCAUGAGGAAGAGAGUCUCUACUCUUAGCUCUUAGUGGUUAAUGAGAAUCAGACUUAUUUAGAGAGGUGGUCAAGUUGGUUACAAGUUGAAACCUGGAAUUCUCACAUGGUUGCCCUGGUUCCCAGAGCUCAGAGCUGCCACAAAGAAGCCCCAUUAAAGCCCAGAGUUUAGCCUGGCUGGUGACCCUUCCUCUUUCAGCUUCUACUUCCCAGAGGAAUUUCUAAGGCUCUUGAGGCAAUGGAUAAUCCUAUUUGCCAAACCUUUUGAAUGAUAAUCACCUGAGAUUCUGAAUUCCAUUAGGACAACUGAUGCCAACCAGUUUGAAGACCCCCACAGAGGAACCGAAUCAGCAUGAGAAUACAGCUGUUUCUUCUCCCUGUCCCAUGACUUCACCCUGCACUCUUCAACCCAUCAACAAUUCAACACUUCGGCCUCCUCCAACACCCUUGAAAUCCCUAGCCCCAAACUCCUCAAAGAUAUGAAUUUGAGGUUCCUUUCCAUCUCCUCAUUUGGUGACCCUGCGAUUAAACCUCUUUCUCUGCUGCAACCCAGUGUCACAGCCUAUUGAUUUGUCCCUCACAUUGGGCAACAAACCUAUUACGGUUACAAGUGAGGUUUCUUUUUCUUCCCCAUCGUUUCCUACUCCUUCAACUUCCUUAAAGCAAAAAGGGCAAUUUAUUCCUGGGUGUUUCAUAAAACACAAGGGCAGGAUAAAGCGG
rnacentral:lncRNA from 10 species